CACAUGCAUUAUCAGAGGUGGGACACGGAUGAUUUCAGACACGAUGUCUUUUAUCAAAUCGUCACGGAAAACAUACGCCCCGCCCGGGGAUCGAACUCGUAUAAUAAUGCAUGCUAUAUAGGUGCAAUGUUAGAUUAACUUGUCAGAUAAAAUAUCAAGUUACUUUAAUCUUGAUACGAUCUGUGUUUGCAUGCCCGACGUGCUGUAUUGAAAGUUUAUAAACUCUAAGGAUAGGAUAACUUUAAAUUAGAUCUUAAAAUACUUUUUCACUGGACUAAUGAAUAAUUACUAUUGUAAGUAUGUGACUAAUUUAUUUAAGUGUUGGUCAACAUAAAACAACAGCAGUUUUCAAAUUGUUUUCAUGUCUUAAUGUUUUAAGAUCACGUCAUGCAAUUUAACCUUUACAAUGCUAAAUAUCUAAAAUUGACUGGUCUAGCAUUCAAUCUUUGGCAGCAACACUUAUUAUUCAAAGGGGUGUUUACUGAAAAAUUUCUGACUGAAUAGCGAACAGCGCAGAUCAGCCUGCACGGAACUACAUGUUGAUCUUGGAUUUAUAUUGUUAGCAAGGUAAAAUCACUUGCCGUCAGCAGGCUAAAGUCCAAUGGAUUGUUCGCUUCCAACUAGGCAUUAUAAACAUGAGGAAAUACGUAUCUUAUGGCCAUGUGGUAUUUGAGGUAGUCGGCUGUCACUGCAGGGCAUUUCUGAGAAGACUUAAUCGGUAUUUCUGAUGAGAUCCAUACCACUUAUUGUUCUAUACUACUUGACAAGACAUUACUGAGUUGUCGUAUAUCUUUCAGAUACUGGAUGAUUCGUAUUAUCAGUUGUCAGAAAUUUCAAACAAGUGGGCCAGUGUAAUUCUAUAAUACAGGAUUUACUCAUUUCACCUGAGCAGCGGCAUGAUCGUUUUACAAAGAUUGUUUUAGGUUAGAGGACCGGAAUUAUGCUUUAUAACUGGCGAUGAGAGAUACGCCAAAUUGAAGGCCUAUCGUGGGUAUGAACAAUAUGCCAUUUCCAAUGUCGGCAGCAACAAAUUUUAGAUGCAGAAACAAAAAGUAAAUUUGAAUUUCAUUUAAAUAAAUGCGUGACUUGGACCUAGAUGUAGCGAUUGUUCUGCAACCACGAAGUUUAGAAGGAAUUUUGAAUGGUCAUCUUGGUAAACUAUUUUUCCAGACCGUUACGGUCAAACUAGAUACUCUGAUAGAAAAUAUCAUAACAUUGUAUCAAGGUUGGCAGCCACUUUUUAAUUGGCGGUAGAUAUUGACUUGAGAAUUUUAAAUCAAAUAAAAAUAAAGAAGUUAUGCAAUGAUAAUCAAGAAGAUUGUCUACACUGCACUAUACCGCCAAAUAAGUCAAAUAAGGAUUUUCCCGUCAAUGACGAAACCAUCCCUCCGAGAUGUGCAACAUUUAUUUAUGAUGGAAGUGUUUAGGUGCAAGUCAAAUAGCUCAGAUGGAGUAGGGUCAACAGUUAAAGCACCAAAGUUGUUGCUGACAUUGUCAAGACAUCUGCAGUUUGCCGAGGCCACGCUGUUUGAUGUUGAAAAGGCUACACAACGCUAAAUUUGCUUGUGCCUUUUGCAGACACAAAACCAACCUAAACCUCAAUGGAGAUUCCAGUUAGAUCACCGGGACAAGAUAUCUUGAUGGCUCAGAAGUUCUCAACCCAUGUUGAUCCCUAUCCUAUCUGUCAAUCAACUGUGCUGUUACUACAGGAAAACAAACAUCUCGUGAAAGAAUUUAGUGCUUCAGUGCAGUCAGAAACAUCGGAACACGGAUAUUUUCUGUCGUUGACAAAGGUUUCUUUUAGGAGACCCCACCGACUGUGUUUGUGAUGAACGAGGGAAAAGGACAAACGGGAACAUAGAACAAUAGGUUUGAAGAAACGCAUGUGAACGCAUGUGAACAAGUUGUAGCGGAUUGUUUCAUAGCAUCAAAAUCGAUUCACCUCACUGACUCUCCCUUCCUAGAUUUUAAUGAGGUAAGUAAAGUGAUCUUCUAUUCUUCUUUUUAACACUAAUAAUUAUCUAAAGCUAUAUACUAAAAUCUAUAAGAAGAUUCUUUGGAAACAUAGAGUACAACCAAGCAAAAAUUUAACAGAUUCGGUUUGACUGUGUCUGUUCAUGAGAGGUAAUGGAAAGCACAACACCUUUCAUGCCCCUUCUUAGCACCAGCUUAUUUGGAAUUCUAUACACAGAUAUUGAAUGGAUUCCACAAGCCAAAAAAAAAACAACAAGAAAAUAUAACAACACUGAAGCUGAAAUCAAAUACAUAUAUUUAAAUGCUUUAUCAGACGUACAGGUAAACACAGUUUUGACAAAUGGCUAACAUCAACACCUGACUACUGCAAGUUAUUAAUUGUAUUUUUUGAGGUAACAGGACGCAAAAUUUGCAUGGACCCUUUACAAAAACACACAUCAACGCAUAUCUGUAUAGAAAUACAUGUACAGCAUCCAAAACAGCAGCCCCAGUCACAGAUCGUACUGUUGCAAAAUGACCACAUAAUUACAAUCACACUGAUCACUCCUGUAAAAGGUUGUCACAUUACAUUCCAUACAGAGAUCGGUUUUAGAUUCAUUACUGCAUAUUUAACAUAGUGCUUUUAGUUUGUUAUAUAAUUAAUAAAAAUAAUCGUAAAUGUUUGUUGUUGUUUUUUCAUGAAAAUUUGACAAAUAAAACAUUUGUUGUCCAAUUUACUUAU
rnacentral:lncRNA from 1 species